CUCGCAUAUAUUGAUACUAUAACAGUCCUUAGUUUAGCAUUUUAUCAAACAUGUAGUGCGCAGUCCACAUUCAUACAUAUAGAACAUAUGUUACUAGCCACUUGGUUCCAGCCUUUUGGCUUUUAUUUAUCAAUGAACCUCCUUUUUCUUUAAGCCUAACAACAAUAAUAACAAACAUCACAACAUAUUAUUCAAUUUAAAUCUUAUGACAGUUAACAUAGAAGCUAAAAUCCAUUUAUCAGUCCUUCAAUCCAUGUAGCAGUUAUAUACCAGCUUUAAGUAAGAAAGGGAUAGUUUAGUAUUACAUUUCUUUUGAUUUGAAAAAGAUAGUUGAUUCGGAAGAAGUGAUUUGCCUUAACUGCCACCUCCUUUCUCCCUCUAAUUGUUACCGUCUUUAAGAAUCCCAGCACUUUGUCAAAGUUAGCUAGUUUUGGGUGGAAGGCUUGGCCAUAUAUGGCUGAACUUUCCUUCUUUCUCUCUCUUAGUCUACUUGACCUAUAGUUACAUUCCAUCAUUACCUAUAAUCAGCCCAACCAUUGCUUCUACUGCUGGAUUUCUACACUCCCUACCCGGCUCCUAUAUUUUAUUCAUGGCAAUCUACUCUUCUUAGCAACCACAUUGCCCCUUGCACAACCACCUAUCUUGGCCUAUAUAAGGCUUAUGUGUUAUUUCCCCUUCUGCAUACUACUUGCCCCGUAAACCUCUAGCCUUGUCCCAGCCACUCUAUUGCUAGCUAUCCUUGCUAGCUUCCCAACUAAAUUGGUAACUAAUUUGCCAAAUAAACUAACUGCUAACAAACAAAG
rnacentral:lncRNA from 1 species